UCAUAAACUAGGUCAUAAAGGUACAGUAAAACCACUGUACCUUAGAAAAAGUAUGCUUUGCGCAGUUAAUAUAGAAGGCAUGGGAAGGGAUUGUACACUCCCAGUAAGAAGUAGUUCGUUUUUAGGCUCAGUGCGCUAUUGAUUAUUACUCAGUGAAAGUCAUUGAGUAAUGUGUCAUUAACUAGUAAUAAAUAAUCGAUAACUUUCUUAAUUUUAUUGACAUUAAUACCGUGAGUAAUGUGCAAAUACUACUUCUGUUCUGGUUGUAGUUUUCUGUUCCGAAUGUACAUUACAGCCGAACCUGGUAAGAAACGCCGAUCAAGUGCGGACGAAUCCGAACAUGCAUGCGCAAAUUUCCUAAGGUUACGAUGGUUUUACUGUACCUACUAGGAAUUCAGAAGAUACUGCCUUCUUCCAGAAACGAUUCUCGGGCUGCCCAUAACGUAAAUUAAGUACCUACGUGAUGUGUUUUAAUAUCUAUUUAUGUCAAAUUUGUAACGAAGCAGCUAGUUUCCACCUGGUUUUGGGACCACCGUGUAUAUAACCGCCCGGUAUCACUUCGUUACGAGUGUUGAACCCAAAUAAGUGUUUGUGCUGGGAAUUGAAGAUGCAAAUUAGAGGUAAUAGACAUAACUUCUAAAGUUCUGUUUUAGCCGCCGUCGCCGUGGACGUCCUCCGCCGAUUGCAAGCGUUUCCGUCCAGAUAUUGCAGUGAUUUCUGCAGCAUACGAAAGAUCGCUCCGAUUCAGACUUCGAUUAGAGCAGGAGGAAAAAGGAACAUUUGUUGAUUUCCGAUCCGGUAAUGAGUUAAUAAUUUAUUUUAGUUUCUCUACGUUCUGUUUCAAAACGAGCAUUAAAAGCUGCAAGGUCGUUCGAUUUAUUCCAUUAUCGCAGACCUUUUGCAAGUGACCCAAAAUUCCAGGAAAUAAUGGGUAGUAAUGAACUACUGAAUUUGGAGAAUUCAAACCGGCCAUCCGAGUGAGAAUAAAUUCCGGUAGCUAAUCUUAUCUGUUGCAGCCAACCUAGUCUGAUUGCGUGGAGUCCGGUCUUAUUCGAAGCGCGCUUAAUUAAUUAGAAUUUAGAUACCGGUUGGCGAUUUUUAGGACCUCCGUGGGCCGCACAAUUAAUUAAAGAAGCUUUAAUUAAAUUAAGCUUACCGCAACGAUACGGCGCCGCCCGAUUUGGAUUUUCCUACAUAUUCCCUUCCCAAAUUGACGAUUGAAUAAAUAGGUAAGCGCACGAGAGGAGCCAUCUUGUUGGUUAGAAGAUUUUGUUGCAUUAGUACAUUCGUUCUUCCGACUGUUUUUACUCCGAGGAGAGAUACUACAUAUCUUAACCGUUAGGAUUUAUAAAGGGAGGUUUUGUUUCUUCCUCUGUAUUUUCCUCAUUUAGAUAAUUAAUUACUUGUCGUUCCCGCUUUUGGGAAUUUGUUGUCCGUAAUUCUGUUGUAGAUUACCGUCAGUCUUUACCGUACCUUUUCGAAGCCUUGGAUUAACCUAUUUCUCCGAUUGAAGCACCUGUGGCAGCCGUAACCGUCCCGUGAGUCAGUCCCCCGUCCUCGUCCAGGCGCGAGAUUAUCGUCUGGUGGCGCCCGAAGCUCCGUCGACCGAUCCCUCCGUUUCAAGCACAUUUUAAUACCGCAUUUGUACUUUGUCCAGUAAUUAAAUAUCCAGUAAUUAAAUAUUUGUUCGUGCCUUU